GUAAAACUAAUGAACGGAAACAACUUGUACAACUUUGGUGGUAAACAUAAAGAACUAAAUAAGUGAUAUUGAAAAAACUCCUUAUUUAUUAUAUGCAAACCGAGAGCAUGCAAAUACAAAAGUGCAAACAUACAUGCUAUAGUUACACACAGGAUAGCAUAUACCUUAAUUAUUCAGAAGUACAAUGAUAAAGAGAAGGAAAACCACACAGUCUUUUUAGAUAGAGAUACUGUUGGGAAUGCCUCUGAAAGUUAACCCUUCCUCACUUGAACGAUGGAGCAAUGUGUAUGGCAGUUGAACUGGUCCAUGUCGGUUUCUCAGACUUGGAUCACUGUUCCUUGCAUUGAUUUUGCUCUCAAUUUCAGUGAGUUUGCUUCCAAACCUUUGGAAAGCUUCUAAUGCCUUGUUAUCAGUUGUCCAGUUUGGAGUAUCCCUUUGUCCAAGGUAGAUCUCAUCAGAAGCAUGCCUUGAUAAUAUCUCUAUCACUGAAAGGUCAACGAGGGUCUCGUACUUUGGUGUGAUUGUUUUCAGAUAAGCCUUUUGAUAAUCGGCCACCAUCUCAUCAUAUUCUGGAGUUCCUGGUUCAGGGAUAAACCUUCUGCUUAGAGUUGGACGGUUCAGGAUAUAGCCUCCAUAAGGAUACUGUCCAAAGUUAACAGCUGAAUGAAGAGCAGAAGCUGUCCAUAUUAUAAUAGAGCAAGAUUGUAUGAGAUCUUCAAUGCUCUUCAGUUUAGGCCACCACGGUUUAUCUUUUAGGUCUGCAUGACCCUUCUCCACAACUUCCUUCCACCAUGCUUGGAGUUCAGUAUCUUGUUGAAUUGCCACAUCUGUUGGGUAAUACAAGGACACAUACUCUUUCACCCAUGACUUUAUAGCAUCCCAAAUUUCAAGUCCAUCAACAGCAUAAGGGUAGUCCUCUAUCACAAGACGAAGGCCAUGAGGAGCAGAAGGAUCUUCAGUAGCCAACCC
rnacentral:lncRNA from 1 species